AUUUAGUUCUCAAAGUCCUGUUUUUGGAUUGUGAUUUCCACAAGGCAGUAAAAGAAGUGGUAUAUAUUGCUGUAUUUUCUCAAGUACCAUAAAAUUUAACAAGCUAAUAAAUAGAGGUAAUAUAAGAGUCGUGGAGGGUGUGUGCUUAUAUAUGAACUCUACCGAACUACAUAUAUAUCCCAUUGGUACAACCCAACGGGCAAAGACAAUCCAAACUCAUAAGCUAGCUAGCUGCAUAAAUCAGAGUGGCUACGUAAUGUACCGACCGAAUAUGGGCCGUAAUAACUUGUACAUGAAACAUGGUUGCGCAUUACUAGAGAUGGGAUAGCUCCCGUGCGCCAAAAACACCAGGGAACAGGCAAAAUCCACACGGUAACAACGUUACCGAGUACCACCGCACGGUAACAGACAUACGGCGGCUUCAUCGGUUUCCCGUGCGCACUUCCAGGGUGUUUCACGAUUUUGCGCACGGCAUGGCCCAAACCAUACUGUGUGUGCUUAAACACACGGGAAGGUUCCCGGAGCAUUCUAUGUAACGGAGUCUUCAAACGGAACGGCGAUAGAUUAGUUCUUGGUUUUGGCUUGGGAGACAUCGGAUUGUAUUUCGAUCCUACAAUUUACAUGAUGCAUACAUAGCAUUUGGCGAUCGGUACAUAAAUCGUCGACCUCACUCCUCUUUGGCAAUUGGCAGGGUUAAGUGGGAUCCAUGCCAGCUCAAUUGUUUGUCACUACUUUAUCGUCUUUCCAUGACUCUCUUUUCUGUGUGGGCGAGUGUGUGUUUUUGGUGGCUAUAAGCUAUAACUUUUCAAAAAAAAAUGGAAGCUUUCAUUGAACUCAAUAGAUUACAUCGAGUGGUUAUAUAUAUAUAUAUAUAUAUAUAUAUAUAUAAUAUUGAGAACAUUCUCGAUCUCUACGUAAUUAUGAUAUACAGUAAAAAAACUAAUACAUUUUCUCAAGACGGCUGAAAAAAAGUUCAUGAAAAACCCAUGAACACCCUCUCCAAACACAAACAUGCCAAGGACACCAACCUUGCAUACUCAGCUUCUGGAAUAGAUAUAACCCACCUUGGUUGUACAAGCAAACUAUUCUCUUCGUCUCAAUAUAAGUGCAAUCUAAUAUGGAUAUGACAUAUUCUAAGACUAUGAAUCUAAAUAGUUGUAUGUCCGUAGUCGUAAGAUAUAUAUAUAUGUGUGUGUGUGUGUGUUACAUCUGUACUAAAUUAUACUUAUAUUGGAAUGGAGGGAGCACUAGAUUAUGCAUGAAGGGCCUAUUAUAGACUAAGCCCAUAUAAAGGGUUGUAGAAUACAAAUUUCCUACUUCUCCUAGCAAGGCAUGUUACAUACCAAAUUGCCUACUUCUCCUAGCUAGAAUACAAAUUUGUAUGACAUAACCAACUUAAAAUAUCAAGGGAUAGAGGGAGUAUAUCUAUAUGGUGUGCCAUGAAGGCUAGCCUGAGUUAUUCUUCCAUACAUUACUCUGAUUUAGAAACAAGUUAUCCUGAUUUAGACUUGGAAGUCAUCGGGAAUAUGGAUGACUCAUCCUAAAGGAAUCAUGCUGACAUAAGAGCUCAAUGUUGUGCAACUUGGUUUCGUAGCGUCAAAGAUACACAUGACGAAACAAAUGUCGGAUAUUUUCCAUCCAGUUAUGUUAGUUGUGAUUGUGGAGGCUGAGCAUCCCAACCGAGAUGUUUCUAGAUCUAGAGUUUCAUUUUGGAAGAACUAUUUUCACAAACCGAGAAGUCCUGCUCAAAAAAUUGACUGCUUUCCUUCCUGACUUUCCAGAAUGGUUUGUGCUAGCUAGUUCGACUGCUCGAGCUUAAUUAACUAGAGGAUGGAUAGGCCUAUGUCAUUUCUGAUAUUCAUGUAUAUAAGCACUACUUUUUAUUUAGCCGACAAUGGAAGAGAUUAUCUUUGCAUUUCUGCAUGUUCAUUAGAAAUGGUAGUGAAUUGAUGAGUGCUUCAAAUGAAGUUACUAAAUGAUCGAAAGAGUUGGUAUCAGGGUUUAAUGAUUCGGUUUGCUGAUUACGAUAGGGGUGGCCGAAAUACCGAAAUUUCGGUCCAAAGUUUUGUGAACUUUUUAAUAAAUUUUGACUAAAUUUGAACAAAAUAUUACCAAAUUCACCAAAAAAUGAAAAAAAAAAUUUAAAAUUUCGGCCAAAAUUAUAUCGUAUCGGGGGGUCCGAUAGAACUGAACAUUUGGAUAUUUCGAUCCGAAAUUAACUGUGAACCCUGGUUGGUAUAUAAGAAUAUUCACACUCGCCAUAGAACUGGUUGCUACUUAAUAAAAAGUACGAUCUAUAUAUCAAGUACUGGAUAUAUAGCUUUAUAGUGUGGAAUCAAGAUAGUACAUGAUAGUAGGGCGAGCAUCUAUAUAUGCCUCUAUCAUGUGUGUGCAGUGCUAGCACAUGCCAUUUAUUAGUAGACUAUUUUUUUAAAUUAAGCUUCAAUGUGCUACCUAUUACACAUGUUGUGGUUACACACUGAGAAAGCCAUGCAUGACGGGAACAUUGCAAAUUUGCAAUAUCACUUCUAAGUGAGGAUUACACUGAGGAGUGUAUUUUUUGUUGAAUAGUCCCACAUUGAUUGUGGAAGAGCUAAGGACCUAAGAUAUAAGUGGGGAAGCCCCUCACCUCAAUGGUUAGCUUUUGGGGUGGGAAAGACCCUUUACGAUCCUAUAUUUUUGCUGCUCUUGCCGAGUGUUUUUGGCACUUGGGGAGAAUCUCCCAUAUCAGAGGUGUAGCUUGGGAGAGCCACAUAUAUAUGACAAUAUGCAAAUAGCUUUUGUGAAACUUUUGUCCAUCCAUGCAAAGAAUAUAUACGAGCUUAGCUACAUUUUGGGAGUAGGUGACAUCGAGAAUCAACAUGUGGCAAGGUGAUCCUCUGGUUCAACUUCUCCAUCGCGCAUGCAUACCUCUAACAUCUCAGAUUGUGGAGUUUAACGAGUACUCUAAGCUAGAGUUGUUAAUUGAUCUCUUUGCUAGUACUCUGUCCCAACUAUUAGACAUCUGGUUACAAAAUAAUCUUCAGUUUCGGCCAUGAUUACCUAGGCCCGCGCA